AAAAUUUUAAAGGUCGAACAGACCUAACCUUUUAGCCCCUACACCAAAAGUUAAUUUUAAUCCAACAUCGAGGUCGCAAACUCUUUUUUCGAUAAGAACUCUCAAAAAAAAUUACG
rnacentral:rRNA from 1 species